UGGCAUUGAAGCGGUUGACUGUGUCGGUAUGCAGCCUGCUGUGGAGCCUGACCGUGGGUUAUGCGGUAACCACAAACCGGAUAGAUUCUUUGGAGUCGAACGAAAACGCUUAAA
rnacentral:ncRNA from 1 species